rnacentral:hammerhead_ribozyme from 1 species
AUCCGUCUGACGAGUCCCAAGUAGGACGAAAUGCGCGUCCUGAAC